ensembl:snoRNA SNORA65 small nucleolar RNA SNORA65
CCCGCCACUAUACCUGUCAUUCCUAGUGACUUGUAUAUUCCAGUGGGGGCUAAUAAAGACCCAGCUCUAGGAAGCAGGACUGCCCAAACACAUGGGUAAUUCUGUGCCGAAAGACCUGGCACACUU